CAGUAGCCGCGGUAAUACAGAGGGUGCUAGCGUUAAUCGGAUUUACUGGGCGUAAAGCGUGCGUAGGCGGUUCGUUAAGUCGGUUGUGAAAGCCCUGGGCUCAACCUGGGAAUUGCAGUCGAUACUGGCGGUCUAGAGAACGGUAGAGGGAGGCGGAACUCCAGGUGUAGCGGUGAAAUGCGUAGAUAUCUGGAAGAACACCGAUGGCGAAGGCAACCUCCUGGGCCUGUUCUGACGCUGAGGCACGAAAGCGUGGGUAGCAAACAGGAUUAGAUACCCCAGUAGUCCCUGUCUCUUAUAC
rnacentral:rRNA from 1 species